rnacentral:rRNA from 1 species
UAGGGAAUCUUCGGCAAUGGACGAAAGUCUGACCGAGCAACGCCGCGUGAGUGAAGAAGGUUUUCGGAUCGUAAAACUCUGUUGUUAGAGAAGAACAAGGACGUUAGUAACUGAACGUCCCCUGACGGUAUCUAACCAGAAAGCCACGGCUAACUACGUGCCAGCAGCCGCGGUAAUACGUAGGUGGCAAGCGUUGUCCGGAUUUAUUGGGCGUAAAGCGAGCGCAGGCGGUUUCUUAAGUCUGAUGUGAAAGCCCCCGGCUCAACCGGGGAGGGUCAUUGGAAACGGGGAGACUUGAGUGCAGAAGAGGAGAGUGGAAAUCCAUGUGUAGCGGUGAAAUGCGUAGAUAUAUGGAGGAACACCAGUGGCGAAGGCGGCUCUCUGGUCUGUAACUGACGCUGAGGCUCGAAAGCGUGGGGAGCAAACAGG